CUNGACAAGAGNAUCUGUNCACUGGGCGCAGANNCCUNNCCGNGNGAAGAUAGCGANANCACUUGUUCUUUCAUUGAGGACUAGUAUGAACGGCACCACGAGGGUUAUGCUGUCUCCCUUUUCUAAUCAGUUAAACUAAUCUCCCCGUGAAGAAGCGAGGAUAAUCAUAUAAGACGAGAAGACCCUAUGGAGCUUUAAACAAUGUAGCAUUUAUCAUAAAAAUUCUGACUUGCGAGUCCACUCUACAACAGAUUAUUUGACUAUAAGUUUUUGGUUGGGGUGACCGCGGAACAUAACAUAACCUCCACGUUGCAAGAAUUUACUUCUAAACUAAGAACCACAACUCUAAGAAUCAAUAUCUUGACAUUAAUUGAUCCAANACAUUUGNUCAUCGAACCAAGUUACCCUAGGGAUAACAGCGCAAUCCACUCCANUGAGCCCCUAUCGACAUAGUGUGAUNUGCGACNUAGAUGGUGNANCUGGGUUUCCCAGUGAUACAUGAUCUGANUUCAGAUCGNUNGCCUGU
rnacentral:rRNA from 1 species